GACGAACGCUGGCGGCGUGCUUAACACAUGCAAGUCGAACGGAAAGGCCCUGCUUGCAGGGUACUCGAGUGGCGAACGGGUGAGUAACACGUGGGUGAUCUGCCCUGCACUUCGGGAUAAGCCUGGGAAACUGGGUCUAAUACCGGAUAGGAGCCAUUUUUAUUGUGAUGGUUGGAAAGUUUUUUCGGUGUAGGAUGAGCUCGCGGCCUAUCAGCUUGUUGGUGGGGUAAUGGCCUACCAAGGCGGCGACGGGUAGCCGGCCUGAGAGGGUGGACGGCCACAUUGGGACUGAGAUACGGCCCAGACUCCUACGGGAGGCAGCAGUGGGGAAUAUUGCAAAAUGGGCGCAAGCCUGAUGCAGCGACGCCGCGUGGGGGAUGACGGCCUUCGGGUUGUAAACUCCUUUCGCUAGGGACGAAGCUUUUUGUGACGGUACCUAGAUAAGAAGCACCGGCUAACUACGUG
rnacentral:rRNA from 1 species